rnacentral:lncRNA from 1 species
GCCACAGAGAGAAGUGAAGAGAGGCAGGAGAGUCACAGGUGUGCUGUCGGUGAGCUUUGGGAGAGCGGUGGCUGCAGGCUGGUGGGUGGAACCAGGCAGACUGUGGACGGUCCUGUGCCUGGCGGAUGAGUCCUGUGCCUGGGUCUGGUGGAUCUAGAACGGGGCAAGAUGGAGCAGCAGACAAAGAGGCAUUGGGGACCUGGAGCCUGGGUCCAGGCCCGAGACUGAAGGACUUGACCUCCUGUGCCCUCCUCUGGCUGAAGGAUUUGAUGAUCUCUCUGGAACCUAUUUCUGGAUCACUUCCAAGAAGAGGCAGCCAUCAACGGGCUGGACAUAAGGAAGACCAGUGGCUGCUGAGGAGGCCUGGGGGAGAGACGUGUCCACUUCCGGUGCUCCGUUCUGGAUGGUCGCUCACCAAGUCAGCGAGAUCCCUCUCAGGGAAUUUUGAAUGAGAGAUGGGGAGAAAGAAAAACUCAACGAGAUGCAAAAGCAAUAGACGCAGAGGAGGAGAGGAGGAGGCAGAGAGAGGCUGGCAAGACGGAGAGGUUGAUGCAUGUGCAGCUCGCAUCCUGGGGCAGAACCUGGAUCAAGAUGGCUGUCACCAGAGCAGCUGGAGGGGCCACAGCACAGUCAGGGUUGUACCCUGCACAGCCCUCCACCAAGGGCUGCUUUCCUGAACAUCCUUCCCAGUGUCACUUGAUGUAACCUGAAUGAGUCUAAUAAACUUGAAAAAACC